rnacentral:rRNA from 1 species
UACGUAGGUCCCGAGCGUUGUCCGGAUUUAUUGGGCGUAAAGCGAGCGCAGGUGGUUUAAUAAGUCUGAUGUAAAAGGCAGUGGCUCAACCAUUGUAUGCAUUGGAAACUGGUAGACUUGAGUGCAGGAGAGGAGAGUGGAAUUCCAUGUGUAGCGGUGAAAUGCGUAGAUAUAUGGAGGAACACCGGUGGCGAAAGCGGCUCUCUGGACUGUAACUGACACUGAGGCUCGAAAGCGUGGGUAGCAAACAGG